rnacentral:tRNA from 1 species
GGCGACGUGGCCAAGUGGUUAAGGCGAGGGUCUGCAAAACCCUUAUCGCGGGUUCGAUUCCCGCCGUCGCCU